UCACUGUUACAUCAUCUUUUUCUCCUUUAUUCUAAAAUUUUUAUUUCAGAAGAACAAUUCAUCUGAGACUAUCACAAAAAGCAGGAACAACUUUCACCAUCAUGGAACUAAAGAGAAAAAGGUCACCAUCUCAAUUACUGAAUACUAUCCUCUAACCAGUGAAAGGUGUGAUCUGCUUCUCUCUUUUUUAUUACCCAUUCAACUAGAGCUGGAUCAAGGAGAUGUAUCUGUCACAGAAAUACACUCAACAUCAUUAUCACAUUUUUGUUUCUUAUUAUGUGAUGAUGUUACUGAUUGGACUUGAAUAAGAAUAAGCACAACAAUGAAUUGGAAACCUCAAUUCCUAAAAAAAAUUGUUCUGCAUCAAUUGCAGUGAUAUUUGUAAGUAAGAUUGACAAAGAUAGUGAUUACGAAAACUAGACUCACUUCCAACGGCUUAUUUGGUUCGAUCAAUUGGUUCGUAUGAAAAAAGCUAUGAGUUUUUUGAGAUGGAACUUUGGAGCAAGAGUGAUGAUGUAAAAUCGAAGAAUGAUCAACUAUAGCGAUUCAAUUGGUAAAUAUGCGGUUGUCUUCGGUUUGCCGGCGGGAACAUCGAUAAUCUCGACGAUGAGAAAAAUCAAUGAUGAAAUCAAAUAGCAAACAUAACUCCUUUCCUAGUACUAUUGUUUUAUCCAAAAUUUGUUUGGAUUUGAUCGGGAAUAAACG
rnacentral:lncRNA from 1 species